rnacentral:rRNA from 1 species
AUUGAACGCUGGCGGCAGGCCUAACACAUGCAAGUCGAACGAGUGGCGGACGGGUGAGUAAUGUCUGGGAAACUGCCUGAUGGAGGGGGAUAACUACUGGAAACGGUCGCUAAUACCGUAUAACAUCAGAUGUGCCCAGAUGGGAUUAGCUAUGUGGUGGGGUAACGGCUCACCAAGGAGACGAUCCGGAACUGGUCUGAGAGGAUGAUCCGCCACACUGGAACUGAGACACGGUCCAGACUCCUACGGGAGGCAGCAGUGGGGAAUAUUGGACAAUGGGCGAAAGCCUGAGCCAGCCAUGCCGCGUGUGUGAAGAAGGUCUUCGGAUUGUAAAGCACUUUAAGUUGGGAGGCGUUACCCACAGAAUAAGCACCGGCUAACUUCGUGCCAGCAGCCGCGGUAAUUC